rnacentral:rRNA from 1 species
GGGACACGUGGUAUCCUGUCUGAAUAUGGGGGGACCAUCCUCCAAGGCUAAAUACUCCUGACUGACCGAUAGUGAACCAGUACCGUGAGGGAAAGGCGAAAAGAACCCCGGCGAGGGGAGUGAAAAAGAACCUGAAACCGUGUACGUACAAGCAGUGGGAGCACGCUUAGGCGUGUGACUGCGUACCUUUUGUAUAAUGGGUCAGCGACUUAUAUUCUGUAGCAAGGUUAACCGAAUAGGGGAGCCGAAGGGAAACCGAGUCUUAACUGGGCGUUAAGUUGCAGGGUAUAGACCCGAAACCCGGUGAUCUAGCCAUGGGCAGGUUGAAGGUUGGGUAACACUAACUGGAGGACCGAACCGACUAAUGUUGAAAAAUUAGCGGAUGACUUGUGGCUGGGGGUGAAAGGCCAAUCAAACCGGGAGAUAGCUGGUUCUCCCCGAAAGCUAUUUAGGUAGCGCCUCGUGAAUUCAUCUCCGGGGGUAGAGCACUGUUUCGGCAAGGGGGUCAUCCCGACUUACCAACCCGAUGCAAACUGCGAAUACCGGAGAAUGUUAUCACGGGAGACACACGGCGGGUGCUAACGUCCGUCGUGAAGAGGGAAACAACCCAGACCGCCAGCUAAGGUCCCAAAGUCAUGGUUAAGUGGGAAACGAUGUGGGAAGGCCCAGACAGCCAGGAUGUUGGCUUAGAAGCAGCCAUCAUUUAAAGAAAGCGUAAUAGCUCACUGGUCGAGUCGGCCUGCGCGGAAGAUGUAACGGGGCUAAACCAUGCACCGAAGCUGCGGCAGCGACGCUUAUGCGUUGUUGGGUAGGGGAGCGUUCUGUAAGCCUGUGAAGGUGUGCUGUGAGGCAUGCUGGAGGUAUCAGAAGUGCGAAUGCUGACAUAAGUAACGAUAAAGCGGGUGAAAAGCCCGCUCGCCGGAAGACCAAGGGUUCCUGUCCAACGUUAAUCGGGGCAGGGUGAGUCGACCCCUAAGGCGAGGCCGAAAGGCGUAGUCGAUGGGAAACAGGUUAAUAUUCCUGUACUUGGUGUUACUGCGAAGGGGGGACGGAGAAGGCUAUGUUGGCCGGGCGACGGUUGUCCCGGUUUAAGCGUGUAGGCUGGUUUUCCAGGCAAAUCCGGAAAAUCAAGGCUGAGGCGUGAUGACGAGGCACUACGGUGCUGAAGCAACAAAUGCCCUGCUUCCAGGAAAAGCCUCUAAGCAUCAGGUAACAUCAAAUCGUACCCCAAACCGACACAGGUGGUCAGGUAGAGAAUACCAAGGCGCUUGAGAGAAC